GGGCGAACACCAGCCCCUGACUCUUCCAAAGUCUCCUGUUUCAUCUCUGCAGAGACCCUCUGGCUGCAGAGAGUGCCGUGACUCGGCUGCAGCGCAUUCUACAGCAGAACAUCUGGACAACGGCCGAAUUUCCCCUCGCUGCCCCGGCGAGUUUGGACUUCGUGGGACACUCCGGGAACUUCGCGAAACUAAUGUGCUAUGCAUCUGAAACGCUGUCAAUCCGUCAAUAAGAACUUCAGAUCUCCUAUUCAGUCUCCUGAAUGGAGAAAAGCAUCUAUUUUGACACAGAAAAUCAUAUAUGUUGGCAGAGUAAAUCAUCCACGUUGGCAGAUAAAAUUAGAGCGGCUGCUCUGAAAAUGAGCAUUGAAACUGCGUGGAACCAUCUGUCCCACCUAGCUCAGCAGUUCAGGACCAGAAGCAAGUCACCAAUGUAAGAGAGAACAGAUCGUCUAGACCGGGAUGCGUAAAAGGAAGAGCAAGAGGAAGAGGAAGAAGAAACGGAAGAGGAAGAGGAAGCGGAAAAGAAGGGUGGACUGGAAGAACAUUCUUCGAAGAUGGUUACAAAGGUCGGUCAAAUAUUCUGCAGUAACAGCCCCCUGUUUGCAUUAAUCGAUGCCUAGUAUCUAGCCUUAUCUCAUCUGGGGUCUUGAGAGAACAUCAAAAGGAGGACAAGAAAUAUAAGGAGGAUUUGGGGAAGCCUCCCUAAAAUCCGGCAAGAAACUUAGAGGGGAUUUCUACACUGACAAGUUGAGGGAUGAUUUUUGUAACCCCUCAGGAGAAUAUGACCUGGAAUAGGGUCAUAAAACCUCAGAGUUAAGAGAGCUAUUCUGUAGUUCUUAGAGAC